rnacentral:lncRNA from 1 species
GGGGCCUCGGUGAGCCAAGAAUAGGCCGCGGGCAAAGCCGCACACAAAAAUAACCGCCCGAAGGCCGGGACGCCAAGUUCGUCCAGCGGAAAAAGGCCACAAAAACGGGUGGGCUAUAGCCUUGGGGGGUGGGGCUGGCCAACUUCGUCCGCCGGACUCGGAAUGCCGCAAGAUUUUGCGAGGGGCCUCCGUGUGCCAAAAAUAGGCCGCGGGCAAAGCCGCGCCCAAAAAUAACAGCCCGAAGGCCGGUGCGCCAAGUUCGUCCAGCGGAAAAAGGCCACAAAAACGGGUGGGCUAUAGCCUUGGGGGGUGGGGCUGGCCCACUUUGUCCGCCGGACUCGGAAUGCCGCGAGACUUUGCGAGGGGCCUCCGUGUGUUAAAAAUAGGCUGCAGGCAAGGCCGAGCCCAAAAAUAAACGCCCGAAGGCCGGGGCGCCAAGUUCGUCCAGCGGAAAAAGGCCACAAAAACGGGUGGGCUAUAGCCUUGGGGGGUGGGGCUGGCCAACUUCGUCCGCCGGACUCGGAAUGCCGUGAGACUUUGCGAGGGGCCUCCGUGUGCAAAAAAUAGGCCGCGGACAAAGCCGUACCCAAAAAUAACUGGCCGAAGGCCGGGGCACCAAGUUCGUCCAGCGGAAAAAGGCCAGAAAAACGGUCGGGCUAUAGCCUUGGGGGGUGGGGCUGGCCAACUUCGUCCGCCGGACUCGGAAUGCCGCGAGACUUUGCGAGGGGUCUCCGUGUGCCAAAAAUAGGCCACGGGCAAAGCCGCGCCCACAAAUAACCGCCCGAAGGCCGGGGCUCCAUGUUCGUCCAGCGGAAAAAGGCCACAAAAACGGGUCGGCUAUAGCCUUGGGGGGGUGGGGCGGGCCAACUUCGUCCGCCGGAUUCGGAAUGCCGCGAGACUUUGCGAGGGGCUUCCACGUGCCAAAAAUAGGCCGCGGGCAAAGCCGUGCCUAUAAAUAACCACCCGAAGGCCGGGUCGCCAAGUUCGACCAGCGGAAAAAGGCCACAAAAACGGGUGGGCUAUAGCCUUGGGGGGUGGGGCUGGUCUACUUUGUCCGCCCGACUCGGAAUACCGCGAGCCAUUGCGAGGGGCCUCCUUGAACCAAGAAUAGGCCGCGGGCAAAUCCGCACACAAAAAUAACCGCCCAAAGGCCGGGGGCCAAGUUCGUCCACCGGAAAAAGGCCAGAAAAACGGGUGGGCUAUAGCCUUGGGGGGUGGGGCUGGUCUACUUUGUCCGCACGACUCCGAAUGCCGCGAGACUUUGUGAGGGGCCUCCGUAAGCCAAAACUAGGCCACGGACAAAGCCGCUCCCAAAAAUAACCGCCC